rnacentral:rRNA from 1 species
UGCAAGUCGAACGGUACCAGUCAGCAUGCUCCGCUGACGAUGGCGAACGGGUGAGUAAUGCAUCGGAACGUGACCUGUAGUGGGGGAUAGCCCGGCGAAAGCCGGAUUAAUACCGCAUACGCCUCUAVGGAGUGAAAGGGGGGGAUCUUCGGACCUUUCACUAUUUGGGCGGUCGAUGUCGGAUUAGCUAGUUGGCGGGGUAAAGGCCUACCAAGGCGAUACAUCUGUAGACUGGUCUGAGAGGACUACCAGCCACACUGGCCCUGACACACUGCCCAGACUCCUACCAGGAGGCAGCAGUGAGGAAUUUUGGACAAUGGUUGCAAGCCUGAUCCAGCCAUGCCGCGUGUGUGAAGAAGGCCUUAGGAUUGCAAAGCACUUUUGACGGAAGAAAAGGAGCGGGCUAAUAUCCUGCUCCGAUGACGGUACUAAGAAUAAGCAUCGUCUAACUCCGUGCCAGCAGCCAUGGUAAUACGGAAGAUCCAAGCGUUAAUCGGAAUUAUUGAGCGUAAAGCGUGCGCAGGCGGUU